ACCAGAGGUGGUCCAUGAGGGUGGUGAAGUCGCUAGGGCUGAGUGGUACGGCGGCUUGCUCCUCAUAGCCACGGUCGGCGGCGAGACGACUAUAGCCAGUCUUGUAGGAGGACAAGGCGCUGGAGCAGCAGGGGUUGCCGAUGCCGGUUUCACGGUCGUAAGUGCUGCCACGGCCCAAGCGGUUAAACAGUCCGGAGAGUAGACCCAGGUGAUUGUUGACGGUGUUGGG
rnacentral:lncRNA from 1 species